UUGGCAAGUUUAGCCACAUGAAGACCCAUGUUAGCCUAGGAAACAUGGUGUGGGGGACAAAGUUGGCUAAUGAAGACAUGCUACGAGUGUGGAGGAUGAUAAGGAUCAGCCACCAGAGAAAAAAGUUCCUGUUUGACCAAAGAGAAAGAAGCAGAUGAAAUAUUCCCCAAGAAAAUUAGUGACCACAAUGAACUGAGUCAUCACCGACUAUGAAAAUGUCCAGAAGAGAUUCACCAAGUUUGAAUUCAU